AUGACUACUCUAACAUUCAAGAUGCUGUACGCCCACCAGCGCGAGGGGCUCAGCUGGCUCUGGUCCCUGCAUUGCAGGGAAACCGGUGGAAUCCUGGGGGACGACAUGGGACUUGGCAAGACGAUGCAGGUUUCUGCCUUCUUGGCAGGAUUGUUCCAUUCUGGUCUAAUCCAGAGGGUGCUAGUCAUCGCCCCGAAGACACUUCUCACUCAUUGGAUUAAGGAGCUUACAGUAGUCGGUCUCAGGCACAUGAUCAGCGACUACUCUGGUUCCAACCUAGAUGCUCGUGACUUUGAGCUUCAACAUGCCUUCAAGGAAGGGGGUAUCCUGUUGACAACGUAUGAUAUUGCCCGGAUCAACUAUAGGCUGAUAAGAGGAGACUUCUAUAAUGAUGCCGACGACGAGGAGGAGGGGAAGAUUUGGAAUUAUGUUAUUCUUGACGAGGCACAUUUUAUCAAGAACCCUAAGACACGAAGAGCCCAAAGCCUAUUUGAAAUACCUUGUGUCCAUCGGAUUGCCAUCAGUGGAACGCCUGUACAAAAUAACUUGAAGGAAAUGUGGGCGCUGUUCUCUUUUUGUUGCCCGGAACUCUUGGGUGAUAAGAAAGAGUUCAGAACAUUGUAUGAAUUGCCUAUCAAUCGAGGAAAUGACAAGACCGCUAGCAACCGAGCCAAGCACAUAGGCUCAAAUGUAGCAAAGGAAUUAAGGGAACGUAUAAAGCCAUAUUUCUUGCGACGUAUGAAAAAUGUAGUGUCACUUGAGACUGGUUUGACAGAUGAUAAACAGCUUCCGAAGAAGAAUGAGCUAAUUAUCUGGCUGAAAUUAACAGAUUGCCAGAGGCAACUAUAUAAAGCAUUUCUGAACUCUGAGCUAGUUCAUUUAGCAUCGCAAGGAAAUCCCUUGGCUGCUCUCACGGUAUUGAAGAAAAUAUGUGAUCACCCACUCAUAUUGACCAAGAGAGCUGCUGAGGACAUCCUGGAAGGCAUGGAUGGAAUGUCAAAUAAUCAGGAUAUGUUGAUGGCUGAAAAUAUGGCCAUGAACCUCGCAGAUAUGGCUCAUGCUGAUGAUGCACUGCAAGCUGGUCAAGAAAGGAAUCUUCUUGAAGAGGGACACCACAUUCUUAUAUUUUCGCAGACUCGUAAAAUGCUAAACCUGAUUCAGGAAGCUAUAUUGCUAGAGGGCUACAACUUUUUGCGCAUGGAUGGCACCACAGAGACUUCCGAGAGGGAAAGGAUUGUGAAGGACUUCAAAGACGGCCUCGGAGCUCAAAUAUUUUUACUGACCACAAAAGUCGGUGGUCUUGGACUUACACUCACCAAGGCAGCUCGUGUCAUAGUAGUUGAUCCUGCUUGGAAUCCAAGUACGGACAAUCAGAGCGUUGAUCGUGUUUAUCGAAUUGGACAGACCAAAGAUGUGAUUGUAUACCGCUUGAUGACAUCUGCAACCGUCGAAGAAAAGAUAUAUAAACUGCAGGUCCUCAAGGGUGCUUUGUUUAGGGCAGCCACGGAGAAGAAAGAACAGACGCGUUACUUCAGCAAGAGUGACAUUCGAGAGCUUUUUAGUCUGCCAGAACAAGGGUUUGAUGUUUCCCUCACGCAGAAACAAUUGCAAGAAGAGCAUGGACAGCAGCUGGACGUGGAUGAGUCGCUGAGGGAGCACAUCCAGUUUCUGGAAAAACAAGGAAUAGCAGGUGUGAGCCAUCACAGCCUCCUAUUCUCGAAAACAGAAGUAUUGCCGAUGUUGAGUGAGAAUGAUGCACUGGACAGGGGUGCCCCUGCUAAGCCAAAGGACGAACGCUUCACUGCUAGAACACACUUGGCAAGCAACACAGAUUCAGAGAUCCCUGAAGAGAUCAACCGGCUGUUGGAAACCCUUGCGAGCACGACACUGGAGUCGAGGCUGGUGCCUGACUGUCGAGACAAGACACAUGAUUUGGAUAAUGAAAUGCUGACUAUGUGGUUCCUAGUAUGCAAAGGCCGGGAUGAACUCUUGGCGGCCACGGAAGCGAUAUGCUGA
rnacentral:rRNA from 1 species